AUAACACAAACUCACGACUCUGACAUCAAGUCAACCAGAUGAUUAGUAAGUCAUUAAGACUAGCUAGACGCUCACUCAAUAGUCAAGGGUCUCUAACAUAGAAGUCUGAGUUAGUUAGCUAGUAGAGUAGUUGGCUAAUAACUAGCAACUCAUUUGCAUUCAAGAUAAAUAAUGUGUAAGCUAGCUAUAGCUAAAGGUUAUCUUGGUUUAGUCUAUUUAAUAAUCCAAAUACACAUAAUAAAUCCAGUAAUCCGUCUAAGUUAUGAUUUCGUGUUUCAUCAGAUCAAUAUUCAAGAUAGCGCCAACAGAAAAAUGAAGUUAGCAGCGGAACAAUAAUAAGGACGGUCCGUCUGAACUAUUGUCUGACGACAACUGCUGCCAUUGGGUAUUAAGUUCCGCAUGGUGAAGUUGAUUUCUUUCAAAAAAAAAAUAUUUUACUUUUAUUUAACCAGGUAGGCUAAUUGAGAACAAGUUGGCCAUUGACAAAUCAAAUACUUUAUUGGAAAUGUUUUAAAUGGUGAUCUCAAACCAUAUUUGGUUCUUUAUGUUUUAUGUUUCUUGUGAACACUGUAAUAGCAAACACAUGCAAUAUUCAGAUCAUUUUACCGGUUGCAAUUAUUCAUUUUUAGAAACAUCUUUAACUGCAUUCGUUGUAGUUGAAUUUUCACUCUGCACUGAUCAAGAAAGGGCUGGCUCACAAAAGCUCUUACUGCUCUCUACGGUAUUUUCAUCAGAAACACUCCAGUCUCCACCUCCACUGAGGCUUAUCAGAUUGUCAGAGUACAGAAGGCUGUAUAGCAGGUAGGGAGAUUUGCAUUGUGGCUGGGGAAAUGGAGAGAACAGGUGGAGGUGUGGAGAACUCUGGAGCUGACAGCAGCUUGGUCGUCUGGUCUCUACUGACCUUCUGUCUUCUGUCUGGUCCUGCCACAGGUGACCAACAUGCCCACUGCUCUGAGUUCCUCUGUCUCAGCCCUCCCUCUCUUCUGGUGAGGCUCCUCAGCUUCUCCUCUGAGCAGGGUCCCUGUGGUUACCCCUUAGAUCUCCCUCCUUCAGGCCUCCCAUCUGGCCAGGGCCUCCCUCCACUUCCACCAGGCUUCCCAGGACUGGCCCCUGGUCCUGUGGCCUGGAGCCCCCUCAGCCCCACAGUUGUG
rnacentral:lncRNA from 13 species